ACUGUAGACACAGUGCACAUUCCACCGUCCUGAGAAGAGUUUCUUGAAGCUCAUCCGCCUAAGUGGUUGGACUUUCACUUCUGGAGUCGCCCACAAAAAGGAGAGAGGGAAACUAUACAUCUUUCCCAUACUUGUGGCCUAGGUUGUCUCUUCUUUUCAGACUUAGUUAAGAAAAAAUUAAAUGUCUAUAGUAAUUUUUUUUUUUUAAGUAGAAGGAACACCUCCUAUUACAUUAAAUAGGAGGUGAGUAUCUCUAACAGUUGGGAGAAGGACAUGCUGAGAUUUUUUUCCUAUUACUAUUAUGGAUCUUUGGGACAGUUUCACAAAAAACACAUAUGUAUAUGUGUAUGUCUGCUUACGGACUCCCUGGAUUUUCUACUUGGAAGUAGUACCGAGGAAGAUCUAACACAGCAUGAAACGGUCAAGAAAUUGCCAUUGUUGUGAAAACUUCAACUCAAUAAUUCAGAGAUACAGAAAAUUGGCACAAGAAUGUUAUUUCUUCGUUUGGACAAAAAUCUCUGAACUUUCUGAGGUUCACCCAUCAUUGUUGUAAAACUCUAAAGAUCAAGUUUACUUUGGAAGUUCUGCUACAACCUCAAGUAUCAUGUUAGCCAUAGCAUGGCAGUGGGGAAAACGGAAAAGAGCAGCCCACUAUUUCCAAGAACCUCUAUUAUUUUAAAGCUCACAGUGUUUGUUUUACUAAUUCGGAGAGAAGAAAAGAUCACAGAUUAUUUCUCAGGACAAAGCCUGCUUGCAGAGGAGAAAUACCACGGCAGCUUGAUGUGCAAUUGGGACUUAACCUCACACAAGACCCAAGAGUCCCCACGGAGGGCAUUCUCCAUGUGUUUCAACUUGGUGCAUCAUUCACCAAGCAUGUUCCCUCCGGAAAAGCAGGAGACCGCCCAAGUUGGAAGAAAAGGGCAUCUUUCAAACAAGAAGAUGGCUUUGGCUGCCCUUGUGGACCUGUGCUUCUCUGUCUGGGCACUGCCUGUUUCUGGAAGGUGUUUCCUCUCAGCCCGGAGUUAUAGGUACAAGAGCACGCAAGAGAGCAGACAGAGCAGGCUGUGAAUUGCAGAUGUCAUCUAACUAAUUCUCACAGCAUCCCUGGAAAGCAGGACAUGAAUGGGAAAUUGUUUCAUUCAUCUGUGUCUGGCAACGUUUAUGAAUUAUUAACAGGAGAAUGUGAAUUUCCCCAGGGGGAAAAAAAACUACACCGCAAAGAUUCAGCCUGGUUUCAUGUGCCUCCAGCUCUUACAGUUGUGGAGAGUUUGAGGUUGAUGGAAAUGCUUUCACAGAGGAUUUUUGUAAUCUUCACAUAAUCCUGAGAAGUAGAGAUUCAGAGGACAGUCCUCAAAACGAAAAGGUUUUUGUAGUUGUUUUCUGAAACAUCCAAGAAGUACCUGGAAAGACAAAGGGAACGAAUACCUACUACUACGAAUCACUGGAUGCUGAUAAUGUGCUAAAGGUGAUAUCUUAUUCACAGCUGCAUCAGGUAAGUGAUCAUCCAACAUUUUUCAGUGUUUUACUCAAGGCUCAGAGAGGGUAAGAAACUUGCCAGAGUUAUCCAGCAAGCAAGGACCAAAUCUGGCAUUCAAAUACAGGCCCCGAAGCCUCCAGAGCCUAGGGUGGGAGCUGGCACCGACACGAGGACAGGAGAGAGUGGAAAAAGAAUUCUAGGAUUCCUGAAACGAAGCAGGUCUGGUCCCUACAAGGGGCCCGAGGCCUCAGAGGGGGACUUGCCCAGUGAGCACAGGGUGCCGGGAGCUCCGUACCUCCCUCCUCCAGCCCACAAUUUUCCAUCACCACCGGAGAGCUGUUUGAAAUACUACAGCUCCAAUCCCCAUGAUCCUCUUGAAAUUCCUCCACCAUCCCUGAGGCCUGCCAGUCCCAGUGUGGGAAAUUCUGCUUUAGAGGGAUGUUAUGAAUAUUAAGGAACAAGUGAUUAUUAAUCUUUUGGCAAACGUAUAGUCCUAUAGAAAUGUUAACCGUAUGUUCCCAUUUAACUUCAUUUAUAGCACUUGGAUGACACUAAGACAUUUGCCUCUUGUUUAGGAAUUAUACUAGUCAGAAUUUGCAAAGCAAUCAUUAGGCACUUCCUACAUAAGGCAUAAGAGACGCUGUCUACAUCUUCGUGCCAUCUGAUCCAGAGGGUUUGGUUUGGUUUGGUUUUUGCUUUGAAUAAUACCCUGUAGUUCACUGGGUCUGUUACAAAUAACCUCUUAAUUAUGUGACUUACUCCAGUCAGAAGACUUCAUCAACUCACCAUUCCUCUGAGACCAUUUACAGGUUAUUAAAAAAUCCAAGUUCCGUAGAGCUGGCCUUCAACUCGGAUGUUAAGCUUGACAUGAUUCCUUUCCACGUGUUUUCAUUUUCUUCUGCGACAGCAUCUCCUGCUCCCUAAAAUAGUGCAUUUAUCUCCCAAAUUCAAUUAUCCAUAUUAACUGGGGAGCUGCUAUCGGGAUAAGUGAUAUCCGUAAAUGUUCCAAGAAGCUUUAACCUUAAUAACUUUAUCACAAUCAAUAGUUCCAAAUUCAUCAAACAGGGCUUCACUAGAGUUGCCAAAAAGGAAUACAAUUUAACUGCUCUGAGAGCUUUCACCCUGUCCUCAUCACGUGUUUCCAUGGAAGAUGCGAAGAACAGAGACACACGAGAAAGGUGGACAGGCAGAGUCAAAAACGAAACGGAAUGAGGUAUCCGACUGUCAACAAGCUGGGUAAUCUGCAUUUCCCUGAGCUCGACUCUGUUCCUCUCUGUUCUUCCUUCUGUUUUUUCUCUCUCCUCACUGGAGUGCUAAUGAAUACCUUCCACUGCUCUGGAAUGCCAUUGUGUUGUGACUGUCCUCCCUUGCGAGGUCUUUGGGGAGGCCACGAUGAGACCGGUCUCAUCCACGGCUUCAUGUCCUCCUCUCUGAUACAGUCCCCAAAGACCCUCUCCACUCAGGGCUCAAGUGCCACUCACUGGGUGGGUCAUACCCCCAGCCCCGUAAAAUGUUUCUGAAGGAUUGGGGUUCUGACAUACCUCACCCGAAUCUUUUGCAUCUUUAAUAAACGAAGUUAGUACCAAGUUAUCUUAAA